AGGACGAACGCUGGCGGCGUGCUUAACACAUGCAAGUCGAGCGGUAAGGCCUUUCGGGGUACACGAGCGGCGAACGGGUGAGUAACACGUGGGUGAUCUGCCCUGCACUUCGGGAUAAGCCUGGGAAACUGGGUCUAAUACCGGAUAUGACCUCAGGUUGCAUGACUUGGGGUGGAAAGAUUUAUCGGUGCAGGAUGGGCCCGCGGCCUAUCAGUCUUGUUGGUGGGGUAAUGGCCUACCGAGGCGACGACGGGUA
rnacentral:rRNA from 1 species